AUUGAACGCUGGCGGCAUGCCUUACACAUGCAAGUCGAACGGUAACAGAUUUUCGGCCGCUGCCGACUGGCGCACGGUGGCGUAAUGCAUCGGAAUAUGCCCAGUCUUACUUUUUCACUGGUCGUAACGUCAGCUAAUACAGCAUAAGACCUCAGGGUGACAGCGGGGGACCGCAGGGCAUCGCCCGAUCGGGCGCGCCGAUGUCAGAUGAGCUCGUUGGCGGGGUAAAGGCCUACCAAGGCAACGAUCUGUAGCUGGUCUGAGAGGACGAUCAGCCACACUGGGACUGAGACACGGUCCAGACUCCUACGGGAGGCAGCAGUGGGGAAUAUUGGACAAUGGGCGCAAGCCUGAUCCAGCAAUGCCGCGUGCAUGAAGAAGGCCUUCGGGUUGUAAAGUGCUUUUGUCAGGGAAGAAAAGCACUAGGCUAAUACCCCGCUAUUAUGACGGUACCCGAAGAAUAAGCACCGGCUAACUACGUG
rnacentral:rRNA from 1 species